UAACAACAUUUAUUCAUAUUAGCAUUUUCACCAAACACCUAUAUAGGGAUGCAAACAAAUCGGUACGCAUUUUUACAUGGAUUACAACUCAUUUUGAGGGUAGAAUGAUGGAAAUACAUGGUAAAAAUGUCUCAGGUUAGCACAUUUUGCCUGAAUAUUUGUUUAAUUUUUGCCUGAAUUUGAGGUUUUGCUCCAGCACUAGGGGGACAGUUGCAUCCCCUGCCCCCCCCCCCCCCACCCCCUCUCUCUUACACUUAUGCCCCAAUUUACAAAGGUCUUUGAGGCUCUAUUAGACAACAAAGCACCCUCUUUGCAAGUCUUUUAGCAUUGCACUGCGAGAUCACAAAGUAGCGGGAGUUUAGUAAAUUAGGCCCCUGGGUUACAUGCCACACCUUCAACAUUUAGAAGUGACCGUUUGUGACAGCCAGUUACAUGGACAGGUAAAAAUAGCGUUGACUCGUAUCGGAUACAGUAACGGAGAGACUAUCAAGGCAGAGUGGAGGGCAAGAUCACACUUCCUGUGCUGUGGAAUUGUGGGAUAUCGGAACAUUCCAGUGUGGCCACAGUUGUUGCUGCAUGGAGUUGGAUCAGUGUGAUAAUGCAUUUACAAACCAUUUAAAACUAUUGUUUGUCUUUAAAGUGGAGAAUGCCAGCGUGGUCUUUGCUAGUUCAGACUAUCAUCAACACAAGAAUGUGAGAGCAUACCUUAUUAUGGUGUAUUAUACAUAGGAUAAUAAAUGAGUAUAGAGCUGGGCGGUAUUGAAAUUUCAGGUUCAGUAUUUUGGGGGUGACUUACUUCGGUAUGGUAUUGAUACGAUACUGAUAUUGAGUGGUAUUUUCGGUAUACUUGGCUUUAAAUGCAUGCCUGAGUUAAGUCUCACCCACUAAUUUCAUCUAAAUAAAAUUAAAUUCCAUACACUCGGCCCUCAUCUCUCUCUUCUUUUCACCUUUUGUGCAUUCGUCAGAUACAUUGUUAGUGGUUUACUAAAUGGUGGAUAAGAUUUUUCAAUACCGAAAUUUCAAUAUUUUGAAAUUUGCUCUGUACAGUAAAUCUGUAUUGACAUGAUACCGAUACCGAACAGUAUAUAUAUGGUAUAACGCCCAACUCUAAAUGAGUUACCAGUUAUUAUAAAAUUUAUGACCCUAGUGAAAUACUUUUUAAAUGCCGUAAGCUUUAGUGAAUGACAGAGAAAAAAAAAAUUCAUGAGGAACAUAAUUUGAUUAUGACUGAUACCAAGUUUGUUAUUCUAUUUGUUACCUCAGCUUUUUUCCUCUAAAAACCAUGUACAUGUGUAUAUGUAUAUAUAGAAAUGAUGUAAACAACUGUACACCGUCACUAUUCUGAGUAUUGUUAUAACUCUGUAUUUUAUUCACAAUUUCAAUUAAUUGUAAAAAAAACAAAUGUUCUAUUUAUUCUGUUAAAGAAAUCUGUAUUAAAUUGUAUUAACGUAACAUUGUAUUAAAAAGUUUAACAAUGAAAAUUGAGAGAAUUAUGUGACAUAAUUGUGUAUUUGCCUAAUCAUAAUGACAUCAUACAUUGUAUAUACUAGUAGUAGCCUACUGACAAGGUUUGUAGGUGUCAGAUCAUCCAAUAAUAUUGUGUGUUUCAUCAAUGUAUGAUAAUUUGUCAGUAAGAAAUUAUGAUAUUUAUUUCCCUGGUUAUGAAUGCCCACUGAGGUAAUAAAUAUAAAUAUGUUAAUGCCAAUAAGCAGAUACGGGAAAGUAAAGGUAAAAUAUUAUUUAUUUAACGACACCUCAGCAUAAUUUGAAUGUGUGGUCUUUAUUGUACAUGUAUAUUAAAAAACAAUCUGAGACUUUCCAUUAAAAAACAAACAAAAUUGAUUUGUGAGCUGUAGAAAUGUAUCAGACAAUUUUUAGGGUUUUUUUCAUGCUACAGGCUACAGGUUAAAAAAACUAACACCCCCCACCCCACCCCCAAACCGACCACUCAUCCAUCCCCCCCUUCCAUAUGCAAUCCCAUCCUACAUACAUGUAUUUCAGUGUAACAAAAGUAAUAGAUCUUUUCUUGAAAUGUGGCUGAUCUAGACAUUUUACAUCCAUGUCUUGUUUGUAAGAUGUUAUUCUUUUUUUAUCUUGUAACCACCAUUUCUAUUGACAGAAUAUGAUGAUGGAUAAAAACAGUAAUAUCCUGUAAAAUGACACCAUGAUGUUAUUCUUUUUUAUCUUUUAACCACCGUUUCUAUUAACAGAAUAUGAUGAUGGAUAAAAACAGUAAUAUCCUGUAAAAUGACACCAUGAUGUUAUUCUUUUUUUUAUCUUGUAACCACCAUUUCUAUUGACAGAAUAUGAUGAUGGAUAAAAACAGUAAUAUCCUGUAAAAUGACACCAUGAUGUUUCUUUUUUAUCCUGAAACCACCGUUUCUAUUGACAGAAUAUGAUGACGGAUAAAGCAAAGUGAUAGAUGUAUCCUGCUACUAGUAGUAUAUGACUCUGACGUCACAGUGACGUCACACGCAUAGCCUACAUUACAGAAUCGCUCAUUUGACCUCUAGGUCAUCGUACAAUGUGGCUGAAAUAACAGAAAUAAUAGCUUUUUUCCCCUGAAUAUUUAUGGUCUGCAGGAUAAAGAUAACAACUAGUUAAUGAUGUCGGAUAUCAGCUUUAUCCUGUUCAGGUCGAAUGAGAAAUUCCGCUCGGCAGAGACUUAGAAUUCCCCAUUCUUACCUUCACAGGAAAAAGCAAAUAUCUGACGUCAUUAACUAGUUAUUCUCUAUUUCAUUGUUUUUUCUAACCCAUGUUUCAAUAUGUCGUGCUGACAAGUGCAAUAAAUUGGUGCCACAAUC